rnacentral:rRNA from 1 species
GGGUUGUGAGGUUAAGCGACUAAGCGUACACGGUGGAUGCCCUGGCAGUCAGAGGCGAUGAAGGACGUGCUAAUCUGCGAUAAGCGUCGGUAAGGUGAUAUGAACCGUUAUAACCGGCGAUUUCCGAAUGGGGAAACCCAGUGUGAUUCGUCACACUAUCAUUAACUGAAUCCAUAGGUUAAUGAGGCGAACCGGGGGAACUGAAACAUCUAAGUACCCCGAGGAAAAGAAAUCAACCGAGAUUCCCCCAGUAGCGGCGAGCGAACGGGGAGCAGCCCAGAGCCUGAAUCAGUGUGUGUGUUAGUGGAAGCGUCUGGAAAGGCGCGCGAUACAGGGUGACAGCCCCGUACACAAAAAUGCACAUGCUGUGAGCUCGAUGAGUAGGGCGGGACACGUGGUAUCCUGUCUGAAUAUGGGGGGACCAUCCUCCAAGGCUAAAUACUCCUGACUGACCGAUAGUGAACCAGUACCGUGAGGGAAAGGCGAAAAGAACCCCGGCGAGGGGAGUGAAAAAGAACCUGAAACCGUGUACGUACAAGCAGUGGGAGCACAGAGCAAUCUGUGUGACUGCGUACCUUUUGUAUAAUGGGUCAGCGACUUAUAUUCUGUAGCAAGGUUAACCGAAUAGGGGAGCCGAAGGGAAACCGAGUCUUAACUGGGCGUUAAGUUGCAGGGUAUAGACCCGAAACCCGGUGAUCUAGCCAUGGGCAGGUUGAAGGUUGGGUAACACUAACUGGAGGACCGAACCGACUAAUGUUGAAAAAUUAGCGGAUGACUUGUGGCUGGGGGUGAAAGGCCAAUCAAACCGGGAGAUAGCUGGUUCUCCCCGAAAGCUAUUUAGGUAGCGCCUCGUGAAUUCAUCUCCGGGGGUAGAGCACUGUUUCGGCAAGGGGGUCAUCCCGACUUACCAACCCGAUGCAAACUGCGAAUACCGGAGAAUGUUAUCACGGGAGACACACGGCGGGUGCUAACGUCCGUCGUGAAGAGGGAAACAACCCAGACCGCCAGCUAAGGUCCCAAAGUCAUGGUUAAGUGGGAAACGAUGUGGGAAGGCCCAGACAGCCAGGAUGUUGGCUUAGAAGCAGCCAUCAUUUAAAGAAAGCGUAAUAGCUCACUGGUCGAGUCGGCCUGCGCGGAAGAUGUAACGGGGCUAAACCAUGCACCGAAGCUGCGGCAGCGACGCUUAUGCGUUGUUGGGUAGGGGAGCGUUCUGUAAGCCUGCGAAGGUGUGCUGUGAGGCAUGCUGGAGGUAUCAGAAGUGCGAAUGCUGACAUAAGUAACGAUAAAGCGGGUGAAAAGCCCGCUCGCCGGAAGACCAAGGGUUCCUGUCCAACGUUAAUCGGGGCAGGGUGAGUCGACCCCUAAGGCGAGGCCGAAAGGCGUAGUCGAUGGGAAACAGGUUAAUAUUCCUGUACUUGGUGUUACUGCGAAGGGGGGACGGAGAAGGCUAUGUUGGCCGGGCGACGGUUGUCCCGGUUUAAGCGUGUAGGCUGGUUUUCCAGGCAAAUCCGGAAAAUCAAGGCUGAGGCGUGAUGACGAGGCACUACGGUGCUGAAGCAACAAAUGCCCUGCUUCCAGGAAAAGCCUCUAAGCAUCAGGUAACAUCAAAUCGUACCCCAAACCGACACAGGUGGUCAGGUAGAGAAUACCAAGGCGCUUGAGAGAACUCGGGUGAAGGAACUAGGCAAAAUGGUGCCGUAACUUCGGGAGAAGGCACGCUGAUAUGUAGGUGAAGUCCCUCGCGGAUGGAGCUGAAAUCAGUCGAAGAUACCAGCUGGCUGCAACUGUUUAUUAAAAACACAGCACUGUGCAAACACGAAAGUGGACGUAUACGGUGUGACGCCUGCCCGGUGCCGGAAGGUUAAUUGAUGGGGUUAGCGCAAGCGAAGCUCUUGAUCGAAGCCCCGGUAAACGGCGGCCGUAACUAUAACGGUCCUAAGGUAGCGAAAUUCCUUGUCGGGUAAGUUCCGACCUGCACGAAUGGCGUAAUGAUGGCCAGGCUGUCUCCACCCGAGACUCAGUGAAAUUGAACUCGCUGUGAAGAUGCAGUGUACCCGCGGCAAGACGGAAAGACCCCGUGAACCUUUACUAUAGCUUGACACUGAACAUUGAGCCUUGAUGUGUAGGAUAGGUGGGAGGCUUUGAAGUGUGGACGCCAGUCUGCAUGGAGCCGACCUUGAAAUACCACCCUUUAAUGUUUGAUGUUCUAACGUGGACCCGUAAUCCGGGUUGCGGACAGUGUCUGGUGGGUAGUUUGACUGGGGCGGUCUCCUCCUAAAGAGUAACGGAGGAGCACGAAGGUUGGCUAAUCCUGGUCGGACAUCAGGAGGUUAGUGCAAUGGCAUAAGCCAGCUUGACUGCGAGCGUGACGGCGCGAGCAGGUGCGAAAGCAGGUCAUAGUGAUCCGGUGGUUCUGAAUGGAAGGGCCAUCGCUCAACGGAUAAAAGGUACUCCGGGGAUAACAGGCUGAUACCGCCCAAGAGUUCAUAUCGACGGCGGUGUUUGGCACCUCGAUGUCGGCUCAUCACAUCCUGGGGCUGAAGUAGGUCCCAAGGGUAUGGCUGUUCGCCAUUUAAAGUGGUACGCGAGCUGGGUUUAGAACGUCGUGAGACAGUUCGGUCCCUAUCUGCCGUGGGCGCUGGAGAACUGAGGGGGGCUGCUCCUAGUACGAGAGGACCGGAGUGGACGCAUCACUGGUGUUCGGGUUGUCAUGCCAAUGGCACUGCCCGGUAGCUAAAUGCGGAAGAGAUAAGUGCUGAAAGCAUCUAAGCACGAAACUUGCCCCGAGAUGAGUUCUCCCUGACCCUUUAAGGGUCCUGAAGGAACGUUGAAGACGACGACGUUGAUAGGCCGGGUGUGUAAGCGCAGCGAUGCGUUGAGCUAACCGGUACUAAUGAACCGUGAGGCUUAACCUUACAACGCCGAAGCUGUU